UAGAGUUUGAUCAUGGCUCAGGAUUAACGCUGGCGGUAUGCAUAAUACAUGCAAGUCGAGCGCUGUAGCAAUACAGAGCGGCAAACGGGUGAGUAACAUAUAUUUAAUGUACCCAUAAGAGGGGGAUAACUAAUCGAAAGAUUAGCUAAUACCCCAUAGUAAAUAUUUAGGCAUCUUUAUAUUUUUAAAGUGGUCGAAAGUCCACACUUAUGGAUCAGAGUAUAUCUUACCAGAUAGUUGGUAGGGUAAUGGCCUACCAAGUCUAUGACAAGUAACUAUGCUGAGAGGUAGAAUAGUCACAAUGGAACUGAGAUACGGUCCAUACUCCUACGGGAGGCAGCAGUAGGGAAUUUUUCACAAUGGGCGAAAGCCUGAUGGAGCAAUACCGCGUGGUGGAUGAAGGUCGCAAGAUUGUAAACACCUUUUAUGAGGGAAAAAUAGUUUUGGUAGGAAAAUGCCGAAAUUUGAUUGUACCUUUUUGAAUAAGAGACGACAAACUUCGUGCCAGCAGUCGCGGUAAUACGAAGGUCUCAAGCGUUAUCCGGAUUAACUGGGUGUAAAGGGAUGCGUAGGCGGAAAGACAAGUCUGGUGUUAAAUACUGUAGCUUAAAUAUAGUAUGCAUUGGAAACUGUUUUUCUAGAGUAUGUUAGAGGGUUGUAGAACUCAACGUGGAGCGGUGGAAUGCGUAGAUAUGUUGAAGAAUACCAGUGGUGAAGACGACAACCUGGGACAUUUUACUGACGCUUAGGCUCGAAAGUGUGGGGAGCAAAUAGGAUUAGAUACCCUAGUAGUCCACACCGUAAACGAUGAUCACUUGUUAUUCAUGUUAACCAUGUGUAGCGAAGCUAACGCGUUAAGUGAUCCACCUGAGUAGUAUAUUCGCAAGAAUGAAACUCAAACCGGAAUUGACGGGGACCAGCACAAAUGGUGGAGUAUGUUGUUUAAUUCGUCAACACACGCGAACCUUACCAAGACUUGACAUCCUUCGCAAAGUUAUAGAAAUAUAAUGGAGGUUAACGGAGAGACAGGUGAUGCAUGGUUGUCGUCAGCUCGUGUCGUGAGAUGUUGGGUUAAGUCCCGCAACGAGCGCAACCCCUAUAAUGUAGUUAGUUUUCUACAUUUACUAAUUAUGCAAAUUUUAGGAAGCAGGGAUGACGCCAAAUUUCAUGUCCUUUAUGUCUUGGGCCACAAACGUACUACAAUGGCCGAUACAAACUGUUGCAAAAAUGUAAAUUCAAGCUAAUCAGUAAAAGUCGGUCUCAGUUCAGAUCGAGGGUUGCAAUUCAUCCUCGUGAAGCUGGAAUCAUUAGUAAUCGCAAAUCAGACAUGUUGCGGCGAAUACGUUCUCUGGUCUUGUACACACCGCCCGUCGCACUAUGAGAGCUGUUGGUACCUAAAAUCCAUAUACUAACCGCAAGGAAGCUAUGGCCUAGGGUAAAAACGGUGAUUGGAGUUAAGUCGUAACAAGGUAACCGUAAAUCGA
rnacentral:rRNA from 1 species